CAGGCUAAGGAGGACACCUGUCAUAGCACUUUUCAUAGAUGCUGGUGUACCCUUCAUCCGUGGAUUUCUCAAUGUCAUGAGGAAGAAAGAGUCUUUUGGAUCCUCUCAUAGGAUAGUUAAAAGGUCUCAGUGGCCUUAAGGGCUCUUAACAGGGAGGAAAUAGGAAGAACUGACAUUCACUUUCUAUGUAACUGCCUCAGAAGUUGUUACUUGGUCUUCAGUGACACAAGGACCUGAGCUUAUUGUAUUGUGGAUCUCUGUCAUCUCAAAUGUUUUUCAUCUCUAUUCACAUGGAUAUGGGAAAGAGUGACCUGAGGAUGCCAGAGAAGAUUUUUGGAAUCAGCCUUGGAAAUUAUAUAUAUUAAUUCAGUCCACAUUACCUUGGCCAGGAAUAGUCAUGUGGCCCCACCAAGAUACAAGGGAGGCUCUGUUCCCAAGAAGAUAAAAUGAAAUUGGUGAAUAUCUGUGAUAGUCUCUUCCACAGUCUGCUUUUCUGGUCACUAAAUAUCAAUUUCGUGUUUCUUCCCAAACCUAGAAUACACUCAUCUCUCAGCAAGGGGAACAACCCAUAGUUGCAACUCAAAUCAAUAGUGUAUCAAAUUAGAAGACAAAGAUCUCUGAAUGAUAAGCACUAUUCUCUAGUGCUUAUCCCUGAACUGAAAUACAGGUUACCUGCCUAACCCUCCACACUCUAUAUCCAGUGGUAGAGCAGGGAUGUAAUAAUUUCAGUAAACUUUCUUAUUAGAAAAGGGGAAAAAUGGGAGACACACAAUAGUCAAUGGUGCAUAAAAAUUAUCAAAUUCUGCUAACCAGACAAUCAAAGGUUCCCAUUGUAUUAUUUAGGGAUAUUCAGGCUGAGCUUCUCUAAAAAAAAAUAGCCCUAAAAUUUCAGCAGCUUAACCUAAUUUAAAGUUUUAUCUGGACUCAUAGAAUGAGUUAGCAAGAAUCUCUUCCUUCUUGAUUUUUUUGGAAUAGUUUGAGAACUGGUGUUAGUUCUUCUUUAUCAAUAUGUUAAAAUUCAACAGAAAAGCCACCCAGUACUGGGCUUCUCUUUAUUGGGAGACUUUUUAUUAUCAGUUCAAUCUCAUGAUUUGUUAUGAAUCUGUUGAGGUUUUCUACUUCUUCCUAAUUCAAUCUUGGUAGGUUGUAUGUUUUCAGGAAUUUAUCCAUUUUCUAUAGGUUUUCCAGUUUGUUAGUAUGUAGUUGUUCAUAAUAGUCAGUGAUGAUCCUUUGUAUUUCUGUGGUAUCAGCUAUAAUGUCUCCUUUUUUAUUUCUAAUUUUGUUUAUUUGGUUCCUCUCUCUCUUUUUUUUCCUUGGCUUGACAACUUCAUUCUUUUGUAUGUGGAUAUCUAGUUGUCCCAGCACAAUUUGUUUUAAAAAAACUAGUUUUCCC
rnacentral:lncRNA from 10 species